CGCACACACACACACACACACACACACACACAUACACAGAGAGAGAGAGAGAGAGACGCGCACACAGACACACGCACACAGACGCGCACGCCCGCCCGCUCCCGCGCUGCCUCAGCAGGAGGAGCCCGGCCGGAACACACCAGGGCAGCACCAGGUGAGGUAAUGAAACUGUUGAAUCUGCAGACUGAAACCGUCAGAAGCCUUUCCUGAGGUGCCCCUUACUGAAAUGCUACUGUGGCAUAAUGAUUUGGAAAUAAGCUUUUGUGUGAGAAGAGCUAUCGGAUCCUCUGGGAAACAUUACAGAUACUUUCCAGUUCCUUUCAGACAUGCCCUGAUGCUGCACAGUACCUCAAUCCAUUCAGCUUCUCUUCAAGAUGGUAACUACUUUCCGCUCCACAUCUCUGCUGCAGAAGAUCUUGUGAUUACCUGAAAAAGUGAAUUGCAUCCUGUAGAUUUCCCCUUAAAACUUCUGCUUCACAGAAGAGAUCAGCUUGUGACAGAUGCGUCAGCAAUGUCAGACUCACUUCUCUGUUGCCUAAUUGCCCUCUCCACCUUCUGUCAAUCUGAAACUCUCAUUUUGGAAAGGACUGAAGGAGUUGUAUUAAUAUUUGUGCUAUCCACAUUUUUCCUGCAUAUUGUCUGCUCCUUCCCUUGGUGUCUGGUUUGUCUUGGCUGCUUUUAAAAAUUCUGUUGCCUCUAGUGAGGGACUGCCAGAUUAAACCAGUACAGAGAAUCCAGGUGACUGUCUACUUUUACAAAUAUAGGUUGUGUAUAAUAAAUUCAGGUUUUACAUCUAUGCAAAUUAAGUCAUCAUAUGAUUAUGACUACAUGCAUUUUUUUAUCAAAUAUGGCAUAUAUUUCACAAAUUAUAUUUAACUUAUACACAUGUUGCUAUUCUGAAUACCUGACUAGGAAUUACAAAGUGUGUCACUAGAUCUUAGUAAGUGGGCUUAUGGAACAAGAAGAAAUAAGAGAAAAUCACCUCUUUUCCUUGCAUUCCUGACAAGUCCAGUGUAAGGGCUUUUCCUACUCUAGAUGGCAAUAUAAACACCUUACCACAGAGCUGUUGAGAGAUAAAAGUACAUCUUGUUGUUGGAAACUUAAAGAAUGUAUGAAAAACAAAACAAAAUACCCUAAAAAAGGAAGUUUUAAAGUAAUGUGUCUUUGGUCUAGUGUUUGUCACAUCUACUUGGUAUGGCCUUCCUCUAAUGUUUCAGUCAUGCAGUGUAAGACAUUAGUCACAAUGUCAAAAUAAGCACAUUACUUCUGCAAAAAUGUAUUUUCACCUCAGGAAUAUUGUGAAGUGAAAAUAGGAUUUAGCACAAUUCUUCCUUUUGAGUUUUUCUACAGACAGGACAGUUUUAGUGUAAAGCUCUAAAUCUUGCAAGAUUAUUCCCAGCAUUAGGUACGACACAUCUGGAAGAAUCUGCCAACUGAGUGCUAGCAAGGAUUACGCUGAGAAGGUAACAACUCAGUGCUUUCACUGUUAACCGUCCUCCACAACUGCUGUUUUUUGGUGUUUUUGUGUGUGUGUGUUCGUUUGUUUCUUUGUUUUCCGAAUAAAUAAACAAAUACUUUGUUGAGC
rnacentral:lncRNA from 7 species